UGGAGGGCAAGUCUGGUGCCAGCAGCCGCGGUAAUUCCAGCUCUCAUAGCGUAUAUUAAAGUUGUUGCAGUUAAAAAGCUCGUAGUUGAAUUUCGGGGUCAGUAGGUUGGUCGUGCCACUGGUAUGUACUGGUCUCACUGAUUCCUCCUUCCUGAUGAACCGUAAUGCCAUUAAUUUGGUGUUGGGGGAAAUCAGGACUGUUACUUUGAAAAAAUUAGAGUGUUUAAAGCAGGCUAACGCUUGAAUACAUUAGCAUGGAAUAAUGCACUAGGACGAUCGAUC
rnacentral:rRNA from 1 species